rnacentral:tRNA from 1 species
GCGGGAAUAGCUCUGUUGGUAGUGCACGACCUUGCCAUGGUCGGGGUCGCGAGUUCGAGUCUCGUUUCCCGCUCCA